UGGAACCGGGUUGUAAUGGAAGCCAAUAGAUAAAUUCCAGUGCCAUAAACCGAGUCCACUACUUAAAUGAGCAACAAGUGAACGUGCCUCUGCAACUAUUUCGUAUCUCCGGCGUCGCAUCUACGUUUCAAGCUCCGAAUCCACACGCAGCGAACCAUACGACGGAUAACGAUCAUCAAAUCACGUUUCAAAUUCUCCAUCACCAACUCAAUUUAAGACUGUGACCACACAUACGUGAAAACAGAAAAAAUGGCAUUGAAAAUGGAUUGAAGAACUCACCGGAUCGAAAUCCCGAUGUAGUGGCUCGACGGAAAUAACGUCGACAAAUAGAGCUCAGAUCUUUCUUCCUCUUCUUCGCGUUCUGUAAAGGCAUAUGGAGUCAAGGCAAGAUGGUGGUAAGAUUGAAGCAUAGUGAGGCUGGACUCUAAAGGGAAUAUAUCUUAGGGAAAGGUUUUGACUUUGGUCAACGUGUAGGUUUAAAGGAAUAUUGUGUAAUUUUCUUGAUGAUUGUAUAUGAAUGUAAUAGACUUGAAACAUGUAAUGAGAGGGUCUCUUUUGAAAAAUGUUUGAAAUUGAAUUGGUAUUAAAAGUUAGAAUUGAAUUGUUAA